CAUUAAGUGGCUGAAAGUAAAGUAAUGGUCUCUUAAACCAAAUUAAAGUAAUUAACGACUACUCUUAAUGA
rnacentral:tRNA from 1 species